UACGGAGGAUGCAAGCGUUAUCCGGAAUGAUUGGGCGUAAAGGGUCCGCAGGUGGCCAUGUAAGUCUGCUGUCAAAGAAUGAGGCUUAACCUCAUCAAGGCAGUGGAAACUACAUAGCUAGAGUACGGUCGGGGUAGAAGGAAUUCCUGGUGUAGCGGUGAAAUGCGCAGAUAUCAGGAGGAACACCGAUUGCGAAGGCAGCUCGCUGGGACGUGACUGACGCUGAGACGCGAAAGCGUGGGGAGCAAACAGG
rnacentral:rRNA from 1 species